GAAAAUAUUGCUGUGGCUUUAAUCACUGCAAGCUUAGCUCUGCAAGCAGAGAGCUUGCAUGGCUUUUUCCAGGGAUUUAUUAAAGCAGAUCUGUGUGUUUCUGUGUGAGUUGUAUUGCAAACAUGAGUGGCAUUCUUUUCCCCAGUAUCUCCUUUUCACUACCUGACCAUGAUUUAAUCUCUGAUAUAUCAAUUCUCAAAAAACCCACAAGGAACUCACCUCUCCCCAUGGUACUUCUGCACACACCUUGUUGCUAAGAACUGUGUCACAAUGUAUGAGUCAGCUACCUUGGGAGUCUUGCAUACACUUAUGUGACAGAGUCUGGAGGAGCUGAGUGACUGGACAUUGCACGAACUUCUCCCCCACGAACUGAUUGCAACACAAGGCCAUUUAUAGCAGGCUCCUGCUGUACUUCUGGGCUGCCUGCAUUCCCUAGGGAAUGCUAGCAUGUACACCACUUCUUGACUGGUUUCCAGGAGGCUUAUGAGGACACACAUAGCCAAGCCCUGUUAAGCUGAACCCAAGGAAAAGCAGUGUCACCAGUAAGCAGUUUGAUUACAUUGAUUAUGUCCAGGAAGAAUCUUGAGAAUCUUUUAAGAAUUCUUCAAAAGCAAUUUGCCAACCUCGGAGCCACCUUGUUAGAUGACCUAGGAGAAGAUGUGCUGGCAAGGGUCCCUGGUCCAUCAGCAGGAGGCUGGAGCAACUGGGCUCUACUUGCAAGUUGUGUCCUGCAGCACUACAUGGGUCACCACGAAAGGAGGGCGUGUUGUGGAUGAUCUGAGUCCUGAAGCGGAUCUUAUUAAGCCGAGGCUUCAUCCGUCCGCUGCCAGAGGCUUUCCUGGUCAUCUCCUUGCCUUUGCCGGGCACCGCUGCCCCAUCGGUACCGUCAGCUUCCUCCCCAGCGCCGUGAUGGUGGUGGGAGAGCCGGUAGUUCAUGAGAUUAGACGGCAACACCUUGGAGAGCCUCCAGCGCCCGCUCCCAUUGCCAGCAUUCCCUUCCUCCUCCUCCUCCUCCUCCAGGGCCCCCACGAGGUUCCGCAUGUCCCCCGAGGCGCCCUGCUGCAGGUACUGCGCGGCCUUGCGCCCGCUGUAGUCGCGGAUGUCCACGUCGGCGUCGUAGGCUCCCACCAGCAGCUUCACGACCUCGGCGUGGCCGUGCAUGGCGGCGAUGUGCAGCGCCGUGUGCCCGCCGCUCGUGCGGGCGUUGAUGUCCACGGGCAGCCCGUGCCGCUGCGCGAAGUUCACCAGCGUGGCCAGCAGCUCCUGCCGCCCGUGCUUGGCGGCCCAGUGCAGCACCGUGAAGCCGGUGAUGAAGUCCCGCUUGCAGAGCAGCGCCGGCUCGCAGCUCAGCAGCCCCUCCAGGCUCUCCCACCGCCCGUCCGAGGCCGACAGCAUCCAGGCGUGCUCCAGGGGGUCCAGUGCCACGGAGCCGGUGGUGCUCCCCUCCUCCUCGGCGGAGGACGAGGCCACCGAGGCGCUGUCCGAGUCGCGGCCGCGGCCCGCGCCGGGGAGGGCGCCGCGCUUCAGCUGAGGGGAGCUGCCCCGCGCCGCCUCCCGCAGGCUCCGGCGGCCGCCGCCCUGCGCCGCCCCCCCCCCCCCCCCCCCCCCCCCCCCCCCCCCCCCCCCCCCCCCCCCCCCCCCCCCCCCCCCCCCCCCCCCCCCC
rnacentral:lncRNA from 1 species